rfam:Trichosporon asahii var. asahii CBS 8904 unplaced genomic scaffold scaffold00164, whole genome shotgun sequence.
GGGGAUAUCGUAUAAUGGUUAUUACUGCGGCCUUCUAAGCUGAGAAUGUCAGUUCGAUUCUGACUAUCUCCA